rnacentral:rRNA from 1 species
GGUCGGAUGUGUUUAGCCCGCCAUGGUUUCAUGUGUGAGUGCUGAUACUCAUCUACCAUCCUUCUAGUACAUCCAGUGCUCUUUAUUGAGUGUCUGUGUAUGGCUAGAUCUUUUACUUUGAAAAAAUUAGAGUGUUUCAAGCAGGCGUAUGCUUUGAAUACAUUAGCAUGGAAUAAUAAUUUAGGACUUCGGUUCUAUUUUGUUGGUUUCUAGAGCUGAAGUA